AACACAAAGAACUGUGCACAAGAUGGCCCUUUAGGACCUGUCCCAAGCUAAUCCGUUUAUAGUUUGUUACAGAACACAGGAUCAAUUUAUCAAUAAAUGAAAGGCUUGAUAGAUUCCACCACCCCCUUCCAGUAAAUAAUUUAAAGGGCUUUGGCCCAAUAUCAUUAUUUGACUCAUCUAAAUUAUUUCCAACUUUUGAUUUAAAGAAUACUGGACCCACAGUCGAAGCUGGGGGUUGCAAGGACCACAAAGCCAGAGCAAGGUGCAGGAUGAAUCUGGAAACAGAGAGUAGGACACGACGCAGAGUGAGGCAUAGUGGUUAGAAGGUUGGCCCAUGGCCUUGAAGACUAGGCUCAGCCACGAAACUUGCUGGGUGCCCUUGGGCCAGUCACAGUCUCUCAGCCUGACCUCUUCUUUAUUAUGUAUUUUUUGUGUGUGUUUUGUGUGUUUGAUGUUGCAACCACCCUGAGACCUGUGUCUGAUUAUAUGGGGCAGGGCUUACCGAGGCCCCCACAAUAUUUUAUUCAAGUUGGCACCCCUGGAAGACAAUCUUACUCGGCUUUGAGUGAGCACCAAAGAAAUGCCAGCCAAGUCUUGAUACCCAAGAUAAAGCCAUCACUUCCAGCCCAGUCCAGCUCCUUCCUGCCUGCCUGUACCAUUUGGCUCAGAAAGAUGAGUAGCAGAUAUGGAAGAAUUCAGCAAUGAAAACAGCAAGAGCAAUCCGCUCAGACACGAUGUGGUUGUCAAAGUUAGAAGAGUUCGAAGAACACAAAUGCUGGAUGAUUCCUUGAUGAAUGCUUGCUGCCCUUUAAAAAGUCAUUGGUUUUAAAGAAACCCAAGAAAAUGGCCCCAAAAGCCACCCUUCUCGACCCCUAACCACACCUCAGUGGUUAUUAGCCUUCUUCAGGAAAACAUCAAUAUGUCAGAAGCUGAAACUUGGACUUGUCAACAAAAUUGCAGCUCCAUUCUUCAAGUGCAGAAACAUCUAGCAGAACAGAAAAAGGCAGCUUUUGAGUCACUGCAGGAGGCUUUGAAUUGCUGUGUGCUUUAAGAAGAAAAUGUUAGAAUUCCUUAAAAUAUCCGCAGGAGUUAACACUGUAGUGGGACUCAGGCCAGGGUGUCCUUAGGGUGUAAUUAUUUCAACUCUAGUCGUAGCAUAUGACUGCACGCAUUGCUUGUGAAAGCAAGACUGAACAAGGUAGGCUAAUGGUCCAUAGACACCUUCCUACUAUCUCGGUUCCAUGAUAUUGCUGUCCAGGUAUUUCUUCACCAAUUACAACCACCUAAAUUAUUUUGGCUCACAUCUCAGUUGACUGCUAUGGAGCAUAGGUGAAUUGUGGGUUGUGUAGUCAGUAUGUUUCAUUUUGUCUAACAAUGUUCAAAAGCCACUGCUUGGUAACAAUUUUUAGAAGUCAAAAUUAUGGGGUUAGAGAUACCUAAACAAUAUAAAAGUUUAUUUAUGUAUGUGACCAUGGCAGCUCGUAUGAUAUUUGACCAGAGAUGGAAAGAAGACAAAAUCCCAAGCAAAGAAGAAUGGCAACAAAAACAAUUGGAAUACGCAGAAGUGGCGAAACUUACCGGAAGAACAAGAAAUCAAGACGACAAAGUAUUUAAUACAGAGUGGGAAUCAUUUAUUGUAUAUUUUCCAAAUCAUUGUGAACAGAUUAAAUCAUUAGCAGGAUUGAUGUAAAGAUGUGCAGUGACAUAGCAAAUAUUGAAUUAUAUGAGAUAUAUAAUAAUUAGGCUUAACGUAGAAAUGCAGUAAAAGUAUUAUAAAUAUAAGCAACCACAGAAAAAGGGGGAAGGAGGUCGAAAUAAGGUAUUGGAAUUUGUUGUAGAAAAUGUUAUGGUUGUU